GACGUAGGGCGCGAGCGUUGUCCGGAUUUAUUGGGCGUAAAGAGCUCGUAGGCGGCUUGUUGCGUCAGCUGUGAAAACCCGCAGCUCAACUGUGGGCUUGCAGCUGAUACGGGCAGGCUUGAGUUCGGUAGGGGAGACUGGAAUUCCUGGUGUAGUGGUGAAAUGCGUAGAGAUCGGCAGGAACACCCAGGGGGAAACCAGUCGACUGGGCAUCUACUGACGCUGAGGUGCGAGAGCGUGGGGAGCGAACCGG
rnacentral:rRNA from 1 species